rnacentral:lncRNA from 1 species
GGCUUGGGUGGGAAGUUGUGUGAGGGGCGAGGGGGGCUUGCUCUCUGGCGCCCUCUAAUGGCAACUCGAACAAUGUUUACUUUCGUAAUUCAGUCCGGGGGAAGGCAGCUGGGUUUUUGUUGUUGCUGGAUUUUUUUUCCCCCUUCUCAGACUUUAAAAAACAACAACAAAAAAAACGAACUAGAGACUCUCAGCAAAUUGACUGUUUUCAACGUAUGAACUUAUGCAUGUGCCUUCAAAUCCUCCAUGUUUUCUCCCCGAACAUCCCUUCCUCUCCCAGAGUCUUGUUAGACUGAGGAGAGCUUCCUUCCCCGCAAAUUGAUUUAUGAAGGGUGGUCCACGCCCAGUUAGGAAUUCGGGCCCAGAGCUUCGUUUCCUACCUGAACAGCAUUCCGACUCUCGGAAUACACUCGAGAGGUGCGAGGAGGUGGAGUGGGAAGAGAUGAUUUGGAAAUUGCAGAUUCUGACACAGGCUCAUUAGAAUACAAUUUAAAGGGGGCUCUCAGGACCCUGUGCGGCUGCGACAUGUGGUGGUCAGGGGGGUUUCCUUCCCGCCUCCUUUUUCUUUUUCUUUUUUUCUUUCUCUUCUUUCUUUUCCUCAUUUUUUUUCUUUUUUAAAAAUUUGGUAGAUAAAGGUUAAUCUUGGGCUGAAUGGUAGAGCUCUGAUUGACAGGAGAAAAGGUGUCGAGGGCAGGUCGCGCUGUCUUAUUUACAGCCCACUGCUUGCUCAGAGUCUUUGUUAGGACUGGAAAGCUAAUUUAGUGCUGAUCAAAAGCACCACAGAGUUAAAGGACUGGUAAUGACUGCUAAUUUCAUUUCAGCCUCAUGCAAGCCCAACUGCUGUAAUUAAAGACACGCUAUUUAAAUACAGGUGAAGGGUUUUGUUUUUUUUUUAGGUUGGGGUGGGGGGUGAAUGGAUUACAAUUUUAUUUAGAUUUCUAAUAUUUGGGUGUUAUGUGCUCCGACAGCAGAUUUUUUUAUUAUUAUUAUUUACAGGUGCUUCUUGUCAUUUAUACCUGGCUUGGCAGAACUGGCAGUAUGAAAUGUGUCAGUCACACACACACACAAAGACCCUCCUAAGGAGGUAGGGGAGAAGGAUGCAGAGGAGAAACUAUUUAGGAGGCAUUUAAAUAUUUGGGUCUCUCUUUUUCCCCCUUGGAUUUAAUGGAAGGGCCUUCAAUAUAGCUAAAAGUAUUUGAAACUUGGGGCAGGGUGAACAGGCCAGAGAGAUCAGUGUCAGCUUUUAAAGUACUCUAAAAAAGAUCAUGUGAACAGACAGGAAAAUAUAUUUUAAUUAAAUAAUUUCCCCCACACUAGAGCUGCAGUAUUGGCUCAGAAACCUUGUAAUUUCUCAACUGAUAGGAGUUUCUUUAUGAGAACAUCAAAGGAUAAAAAGCUCUACAUUUUCGUAGUUGGUUAAAAUUGAUAACCACCCCCCAUACACACACGCACAUGCACACACACAACCCCCAAAAAGAAUUUAGCCUUUAAUCUCUUUUUAUCCACGAAGACUAAAGCUCUGUACUCGACCCCUUGAGCGUUUCUCGCCUUCCGGGGCUGGAACCCAGCUCAGAUGUGAAGCGGCGCUGAGCCGCCGCGCAGGUUCGUGCCCAGCGCCCCCUGUUGGACACAGUAGGCGCUGCGCAGCGCCAGUCCUGGAAAUCGCUAGAACCUGGCUCUGGGGUUACAGAAAACUCUUUAUUACCCUCCAGAAAGGAAAUAGGGCGCGGAAACAAGUUUUUAUAUCCUUAAAAGAUAUUUUAAUUCAAUAAACACUAAAAAGGAGAUAAUACACUUUUAAUGCAAUAAAAAUAAAAGACUCAUUCCUCCUGCUCUGCUCCCAGCCAGCCCCCACCCCCACCCCCACACACACCCUCACCCCCGUUUGGUUUUGGGAUUCCCUGGAAAGGUUCUUGGGACCCGACCGUAAAACAGGUAGAGAAACACGGCGAAAGACAAAACAGCAAAAAAAUCUUUCCCGAGGCCACGAAGAACCAAGCAAAACUACUUUCCCCGUUUUUUUCCGCACCCCACAAAAAAAAAAAUAGAAAGAAAAGAAAAAAGGAAGAGAAAGGGAACGAUGCACUGCUUGCUAUUUUGACGUUUGUCAGCAGCAUUUUGUGUUCUCUCGGAGGUCCUGGGUGUGUUGUAAAGAAGCCUCUGAGUAAACGAAGUAACUUGUUUCUAUUUGUGUAUUUAUGUCCAGGGGGCAACUGUCAGCGCAGCCACUUCUCUAAACGUUUCCCAUCCCCCAAAACAGUCUUGCCCAAACUUUUCCUUUCCUGUCAAGAGGCUGAAGCCCAGAUGCUGUCCACCUAACAGGUGCCUGACAUCUUGUCUUUUAUCUCGGCCUGGGAUCUCCGGGAAGAUCUGCCAGUGGUCAAAGAGCAUUUUCUUUGAAAUUCAGCAUCUCACUGACCAGGAAUCCAAAUUAUCCUAGGGAAAGGGUAGUAUUUUUUACACUUCUAAAAAACUACCUGCCUACAUAAGAAAGGGUUUUAACUUUCUUUGACCAGCAAGGGAAAGCAAAGGGUCCUUUGAAUUAUUUCAGAAAGAGAAACUAUUUUUUAAUGGAACAUUCCCUAAAUUUAAGACAAUGAGGAAAAGUGUGUUUCUUUAGUUGUUUCAAAUCAAACAGAAACAGUUCUGGUGAUAAAUGAACAAAGUGGGGAGUUCCAUCUUCGGGGAUAUGCUUCUGAUUUUAACUUUUAACCCUGAAAAGUUUAGGGCCUGCUUUUUUUUUUUUUUUUAAGUUUGCUCAUUGACGGAAACUAGCCUAGUUUUUCAUAGCAGAAUGGCCUUUUUAAAAUCGUCAACGCUGUGGCAAUGAAAGCUUCCUGUUGUCUUGUGAGUGUCCUCCACCUCCCCUAAUUAGCGGCCCGAGGUUGCCUUUUUAGGGAAACUGCCGUCCAUGCGAUGAGACGCCUGCUCUCCGAUUCCAGAAUCGGAUCUCGGCUUGGGUAUUAACUAAGUAAAAAUCGUUAAUCUUGGAAAAGCAAAUUCACCACCAGGGGGCGCACCAGCCACAUCCGUGAAACCAGCCGCGCUGAAAAGUCGGUGGCCGCCUUCUCCACAGCCUCUCAACCUUUUCCCUUUCCUAAUCUCCAGAGAUCCAUGUUUAGCUUAAUAUAACACCCCGAUUAAACGGGAAACAUUGCUUUAUUUCGAAAAAUAUUGAAUAUUUGCGUGCUUGGAGAACAUAAAUCUCACCCUCCCCGGGUUCCCAAAAUCUAAAGCAAACCAUAACCUAAGAGCAAAGGGAGAGCCUGCAGGGGGGAGGGAAGGUCGAUUGGAGAUAAUUUAUAAUUAGGAAAAGUCUGCAGGAUUCUUUUUCACAACUUUUCCAGGUCUCCACUGGGCAUCCUCAGGUUGAACUGGACAAUAACGGACGGCCUGGGAGGGCAGGAACUGGAGGGGGGGGGGCGUGAUGGUGGGAAGGUUAGGAGCAAACAAAACAAUGCAGUUUGUAAAGAUAAUAAAUGGAACGUGGCCGGUGGAUACUAUUCAGCCCAUUUUCUUAGGGUAAGGGGAGACCAGGGGAGGAGGGGGCGGAGAGAGUGUUACAGAAGAAAGAAAAUAAGUAACUCCGGUGGUUUAAGCCCUUUCUAAAAAAGAAAUGGCAUCAGGUUUUUUUUCUCUCCCCACCCCCCUUUGUAGUCAAGUGCAUUUUAGCCACAAAGAUCCCAACAAGAGAGUGGAAGGAAACUUAGACGGGGCUUUGUUUGACUCCGUGUAGCGACAACAAGAGAAACAAAACUACCUAUUUGUAACGGACGUGGUACCAUUGCUCUGCGCUUUGAGCGCCUACCUAUUGAAAUCUUUAAGUCGGGACAAUGGGAGAGCGGCUAAAAUUACCCUCUUGGGUCCUGGGCGGGCGAGAUUCCUGCGGCCCUGCCCCGCC